rnacentral:rRNA from 1 species
CGCCAGACUCCUACGGGAGGCAGCAGUGAGGAAUAUUGGUCAAUGGGCGGGAGCCUGAACCAGCCAAGUCGCGUGAGGGAAGACGGUCCUAUGGAUUGUAAACCUCUUUAGGCGGGGAGCAAUGCCGGGCACGUGUGCCCGGAGGGAGAGUACCCGCAGAAUAAGCAUCGGCUAACUCCGUGCCAGCAGCCGCGGUAAUACGGAGGAUGCGAGCGUUAACCGGAUUUAUUGGGUUUAAAGGGGGCGUAGGCGGAUUUUUAAGUCAGCGGGAAAAUGUCCGGGCUCAACCCGGGCCGGCCGUUGAAACUGGUGAUCUUGAGUGGGCGAGAAGUAUGCGGAAUGCGUGGUGUAGCGGUGAAAUGCAUAGAUAUCACGCAGAACUCCGAUUGCGAAGGCAGCAUACCGGCGCCCGACUGACGCUGAGGCACGAAAGCGUGGGGAUCGAACAGGAUUAGAUACCCUGGUAC